rnacentral:misc_RNA from 1 species
AUCGGAGAGAACUUUGAUAAUAAAUAACAUUCGACAGGAGGAUAAAAAGCGACGCGAACAAUUACAUGAAAAAUUGUACGACAUUUCUCAUCUGGUCCUUGGGUAAAUAAUAUUUCUGUCAUGCGUCUACGGACGUUGAAUGAAGAAACGGGAAUAUUGGAAGUACAGUAGUUUAGUCACCCCUAUUUUCCACGCAAUUCGGGGAGACCUUUUACGAUUUUAUAUUUCUUCGAUGCAAGGAACAAGUUUUUCAAUAAACCUCUCCAGGUGGACCAUACUUUUGAUGCAAUCAGAGAUACUCUUCCAAGUUAUGAUUCCUAGACUAGUGUACGUUGAAAACCGUUAACAGAUUGGUCGAAUCAGAAAAUAAUUUUAUGAAGCGAAGCGAUGCGUGCAUAUUCCCAAUCUCCGAUUUCCUAGCAUAAAUUUUAUUUUUGCAGAAUAAAAUGGACCAAGAUGUAUG